UUGGCAGGUGGAUUCUUUACCACUAGCACCAUCUGGGAAACCCAUGUUGUUGACUAUCAGAAGGCCAAGACUGGGUUAGGAAGCGAGGUGGAUGGAGGAGCUCUGGACAGCACUCUGCCACCACGUCCUGUGUCCACGCCCAGCUUGCAGUUAGCCUAGUUUAGAGCAGAUGUUCUGUCCUGUCCGGCCUCUGGGUUUGCUCUGUGGUGACAGAGCAAGGGUGUGAAAUGGGAAGAAGAUGGUUUGCCCUCGGUAGUUAUGCCUGAGCCGCAAUAUUGUCGGUGGCAGGGUGGGGGAUGUGACCUUCAGGGCACAGGGCAGAGUUUCCAGAGUGGGUGCCUUUGCUGCUAAUUCCCCCUCCUGGUCAGGUGACAGCGUGCUGCCCAUGGGACUCCCAGAUAGAUCCUGGGUUGGGGGGCAUAAUCCCACCCCAAGACUGUCCAUGAACUCAGCCCUCUUUGCCUGCCUGUCGUGUGGAAUCCAGGAAUUCAGAGCACAGUCACCCUAUGAACUGGGUCUGGGUCAGGGUUUCCUUGAUUAGGAACAGCUGUCCUACUCCAGGUAAAGUCAAUCUCUAAUUCUGGGACCAAAUGGUCCUCCAUGCAUGGGCCUGGACUUCACCGGCAUCAGACCCAGCUGCCAGCUUGUUGAAAAACAGAUUCCUAGGCUCCACCCCAGGUCUAGUGAGUCAGGUUCCCUGUGGUAGGGAUUUACAUUUUAAACAAAGUUUCCAGGUGGCUUGAGUGCACAGUAAAGUUUGAGGGUCAUUGCUGGAGACCAUCCUCAUUACCAUGACUCUUGAUUUUCCAUAGACCUUUCCUGAAGCACAGGCUUGUGUUCUGACAUGGGUACUUGACUCUAGUCUUGGCUCAUAGGUCCCCUCACUAUGGCAGUAGGUGUCUCCUCUCUGAGGCCUGCCACGAUGGGGCACCAGGACAUGCAGAGGAGCAGGGGAAGCUGUAGUGACCACCCUGGUCACCGAUGGAGGGAGAGUUGGGAGCCAGGGAUUAAACCAAUGGGCCAAUGCUAAAGUUCACGGAAAGCCAAGGGAGAAGUUUGCUUUGGGAAAUACUGGGUUUAGGCUGCAGCUUGAUGUCAAAGGCCUUGUCUGAGGCAUGGGGGCAGUUUGGGCCUGCUGGGUCUUGGCAGCUGAGACCACCACCAACAUCUGCACAGAGACUAUAGGUGGUGUGAAGGAGGUGGUGGGUGAAAUCAUCCAGGCAGAGGACAGAGAGCUGGAGAGAGGCCAAGCGCUGGGCCUGGGGGCCUUCUUAGUUCUAGGGGCGUAGGCAUAAGAGUUGGGAUGGAUGCAAAACAGCAUCCCAUGAAGGAGACCAGAGUCAGGUAAGGAGAGAACCUCUAGAAGGGAGGGUUGAUUAUGCAGGAAACACUCCAUCCGGGAGCCAGAGAUGGAGUGGGAACAUUUACUUUAAUAAGCCAUUGGCUUUGCGUCCUGGCGAGGAGAUAGUGGAGGCGAGUGUUCGUGAGCUUUGGCUCUGCUCUGGAUGGGGGUACGCCUGGGCGGUGGAGCACCUGUGCGUUUGGCUCUCCUUAGGGGCUGGCAUGGACUCUCCCACUGCCCAGCUGCAAACCGGGCGGUAGCCCCUCCUCUGGCAUGUCACCGUGUUCUCCUGCGCAGCUGGGCUUGGCCAAGCCUGAGCUGUUCCCCCAUGAUCAUCCUGUGCUGGCUCCCCCUGCCCUGCCCCACAGGCAGCCUAGAACAGCCUGGCCCUCCUCUGCUCUUCCAGCCAGAAGCUGCACUCUGCUAAAUGAGCUGGAGUUGCUGGAACUUUCCAGGACUGCCUAGGCCACUUAAACUUCCAGGUCGGUUGAAGACCAGCCAAUUUUCCACUUGGAUUUGAGUUGCCCCUCCUCCUCGCACCUAGGUGCCUGGGGAGGCUGAAGAGACUGGCCGCUCAGCUGUGGCUGAAAGCAAGGAGGCUCACUCCAGGGGGCAGGCGUGGAGUUGGGGAGGAAAACCGAUCGGUGCUGCUUGGUUUCACGUUUUUUCUCCCCAAAGUGAAAAUCCAGCUGGCUCAUUCCCCUCCGUUUGCCUCUGAAGCUGUAUCUGGUAUUUAUAGAGGACUGAACCAAGGGCCAAUCAGCUCGGAAUGGAAAUUCCUGAGCCUGAAGUUCUCUGGAGCAACCGGGCUUUUGGCUUUCUCUCUUCCUGGAGUUCAGCUAAGGUUUUCUCUUGAAAACUUUGAAGUUCUGAGAAGUUUGAGGAGAAAUAGAUUCAUCAUAAAAUUCAUAUAGAAUCACAAGGGACCCCAAAGAGCUAACAGAAUAUUGAAAAAGAACAAACUCGGAGAAUUUAUACUUCCUGACUUCAAAACUUAGUACUUUAAGCUAUAGUAAUCAAAACAAUGUGGUACUGGCUAAAAGACAGAAAUAGAGGCCGGUGAAGCAGAACAGAGAGCCCUGAAAUAAACCAUUACACAUGCAGCAAAUGGUCAAGGUUGCCAAGAUCAUUCAAUAGGGAGAAGACAGUCUUGGCAAAUGAUGUAGGAAAAACAGGAUAUUCACAUGGUAAAAGAAUAAAGUUGGACCCUUACCUCACAGCCUACACAAAAUUUAACUCAAAAUGGAUCAAAGACCUAAGAACUAAAACUAUAAGACUCUUAGAAGAAAACACUGGAGGAAAUCAUAGUGGUAUUAGAUUUGGCAGUGAUUUCUUGAAUAUGACACCAGAAGCACAGGUAACAGAAGAAAAAAUAGACAAGUUGGACAUCAAAAUUAAAAACUUGUUCAUCAAAAGGACAUGAGCAACAGAGUAAAAAGCCCACAGAAUGGGAGACAAUAUUUGCAAAUCAUAAAUCUGAUAAGGGAUUAAUAUAUUGAAUACAUAAAGAACUCUUAACAAUAACAACAGCAAAAAUUCAAAAGUAACCAAAGGACUUGAAUUGACAUUUUUCCAAUGAGGAAAUACAGCCAGCCAAUAAGCACUUGAAAAGAUGCUCAACAUCACUAAUCAUUAGGAAAAUGCAAAUCAAAACCACAACAAGACAUCGCUUCAUAUCUAUUAGGAUGCCUAACAUCAAAAAAAUCAAAAGAUAACAAGUAUUGUUGAUGAUAUAGAGAAAUUGGAAUCUUUGUGCACUGCUUGUAUAAAAUGAUGCAGCUGCUAUGGAAAAUAUUAUGACGGUUCCUUAAAAUAUUAAAAAUAGAAUUUAUCAAGGUUCAGCAAUUCCACUUCUGGGUAUAUGCCUCCUCAAAAUUGAAAUCAUGAAGAGAUACUUGUGUACCUGUACUCACAGCAGCAUUAUUCCAAGAGCAAAUGGUGAAAUGUCCACGAUGGAUGAAGGGAAAACAAAAUGUGGUACAUACACACAAUGGACUAUUAGCCUUAAAAA